UCCGGUGUAGUGUAACGGUUAACAUACCGCGUUUUCAAAUCACGUGAUACAUCAUGUGUCAGAUCCGCGGCGCUCGGGGUUCGAUUCCCCGCACCGGAG